rnacentral:lncRNA from 10 species
CUCACUCUCACAAUUGCACGGUCUAUUUAGCACGCUUUUAUAAAACCUUUUAACCAAUCAGCUCUGAACCCCUGAGAGCAAGGCCCACCCCACCUGUCAGGCUUGGAUUUCCAAACACAGGUAGGGCGGUCCGCUCCGAGACUGGAUGCGGGUUUCCUUCCCCAAACACAGCAGAAGCCCUGGCAGUUUUAGGACAGGCACUGAGCAGGGGGUCCUGAGGGCCGGGCGUCAGGGGCUCUGUGCCAGCCCUGUGGAUGGAGGUCCCUGAUCCGGAGGGAUUCCUAGGGGAGAAGGGAGCCAGGGUUUCUGGAAGGACGAAACAGCAGGUCGGGACUGUGGCACCACAGGGACUCGAAGGACCCACAAAGGCCCGACUAAGCCUGGGGACCCUGGAAAUCUUCCUGCAGAAGGAAAUGCCUGAAACAGACUGAAAGGGAAAAGUAGGAUUCAACAGACCAAGAGCAAAGGGAAGGGCCUUCUGGAUGGACAACAGCCCCGCGCAAAGAGGGGCACAGAUUUUCGGGCUGUUUCCAGUUAAAGGAACGUAAAGCUGCUAUGGCCAGGUCCUAUGUGGCCAUAACCUUGGAUGGUGCUUAUGAUUCCUCUGGAUUUUCUACAUAAACAAUCAUGUCAUCUGCAAUGGGAACAGUUUCAUUUCUUCCUCUACGAUCUAUCUGCUUUUUUUCCUCCUUGCCUCAUCACAGUAGCUAGAACAUCCAGUACUGUGUGAAAUAACAGUGGUGAUGCAAAUAUCUUUUCCUUGUUCCCAAACUCAGAGGGAAAACAUUCAGUCUUUCACCAUUAAGUAUAGUAUUAGCUAUAGGGUUUUUGCAGAUUUUUUUUAGCGAAUUGAGGGAGUUCCUCUCUGCUCCUAGUUUGCUUAGGUUUUGCUUCUUAUGAAUUGUUAUUGGAUUUUGUCAAAAGCUUUUUCUGCAUCAAUUGAUAUAAUUAUAUUUUUCUUCUUUAACCUGUUGAUAUGGUAGAUUGUAUUGAUUUAUUUUUAAAUAUUGGACCAGCCUUAUAUACCUGGAAUAAAUCCUACUUGAUCAUAGCGUAAUUUGUUUUAUACUGCUGGAUUUUAUUUCCUUCUAUUUUGUUGAGGACCUUUUAAAUCUAAGUUCAUGAGAAGUAUUGGUCUGUCAUUUUCUUUUCUUGUAAUGUCUCUGUCUGGUUUUGGUAUCGGGAUAAUGGUGUCCUCAUAGAAUGAGUUAGAAAGUGUUUCUUCCUCUUUCAUUUUCUGAAAUAAAUUAUGUAGAAAUGGUGCUAAUUAAGUGUUUGCUAGAAUUUUCCAGUGAACCAUCUUGGCCUGAAGAUUUCUUUUUUUAGAGCUUUAAAAUGAUCGAUUCAAUUUAUUUAAUGGCAAUAAGACUAUUCAGUUUGCCUUAUUCAUCUGAUUGAAUUUUGGUUACUUGUGAUAUUUGAGAAAUUGGUCCAUUUCUUCUAAGUUAUCAAAUUUAUGAGCAUGGAGUUGUUUACAGUAUUCUCUUAUCACAUGUUAAAUGGUUGCCGAGUCUCUUAGGAUAUUCCCUCUUGGUAUUGGUGAUUUGAGUCUUCCUGGUGUUGGUGAUUUGGGUCCUCUGUCUGUUUAUCUUAGGUUUUUUUAAGAAGAUUAUCAACUUUAAUAAUUUUUUAAAAUUAAUUUUAUAUAUUAUUUUUCUGUUUCCAGUUGCACCAAUUUAUGCUCUUAUCUAUAUUAUCUCCUUUCUUCAGAUUGCUUUGGAGAUAUUUUGCUAUUCUCUUUCUGAUUUCUUGAGGUAUGAAUGUUGUCUUAGUCUGUUCAGGCUUCUAUAACAAAAAUACCAUAGACAGAGUAGCUGAAACAAGAAACAUUUAUUUCUCACAGCUCUGGAGGCUGGGAAGCCUAAGAUCAAUUUGCUGGCAGAUUCAGUGUCUGGUGAGGUCCCACUUCCUGAUUCACAGACUGCCAGUUACUCAUUGUAUCCUCACACAAUGGAAAGCAGCAAGAGAAUGCUCUGUUUCCUUUUAUAAGGGCACUAGUCACAUUCACAAGGGUCCUACACUCCUGAACUAAUCACCUCACAAUGAUCACACCUACUAAUAUCAUCACAUUGAGAGUUAGGAGUUCAACAUACGAAUUUUGAAGAGACACAAGCAUUUAGUCCAUUACAAAUACAGAUUAUGGUUUUGAGAACUUUCCCUAUUUUAAUAUAAGUGUUUAAUGCUAUAAAUUUCCCUCUCAGCAUGGCUUUUGCUGCAUACCACAAAUUUUGAUAUGCAUUUUUUUUUUUUUUUGAGAUGGAGUCUCACCCUGUGGCCCAGGCUGGAAUGCUGUGGUGCGAUCUCGGCUCACUGCAACCUCCGCCUCCUGGGUUCAAGCAAUUCUCUUGCCCCAGCCUCCCAAGUAGCUGGGAUUACAGGCGCAUGCCACUACACCCAGCUAAUUUUUGUAGACAAGGGGUUUCACUAUGUUGGUCAGGAUGGUCUCAAACUCUUGAUCGUGUGAUCCACCCGCCUCAGCCUCCCAAAGUGCUGGGAUUACAGGCGUGAGCCACCGAACCCAGCUGAUAUGCAUUUUAAUUUUUACUCAGUUCUAUUUAUUAUUGAUUUUUCUUUGAGACCUCCUUUUUGCCCUCAUGGAUUAUUUAGAAAUGUGUUGUUUACUUUCCAAGUGUUUGGAGAUGUUCCUUUUGUGUUUACCCUGUUGAUUUCUAAGUGAUCAUUGAUUAAAUCACCGACUAUUGAUUAAAUCGAAAUUGUCAGAGAACAUUCCUUGUAUGAUUUCAACUUUUUAAAAUUUGUUAAGGUUUGUUUUAUGGCCCAAGUCUAUCUUGGUAAAUGUCAUGGCUAUUUGAAAAGAAUGUGCAUUCUUCUGUUGUUCAGUGGAUUGUUCUUUCAGUUGCUAAGAGUUGAGUGUUUAAGUCUUAACCAUAAUUGUGGAUUUCUCUCUUUCUCCUUUCAGCUUUAUCAGUUUUUGCUUCAUGUACUUUGAAGCUCUGUUGUUUAGUGCAUAAAUAUUAGGAUUGCUCUAUCUUCCGGAUCAAAUGUUGCUUCUAUCAUUACGUCCCUCUUUGUUCCCAGAUAUUAUCGUUUUUCUAAAUUCUACUUUAUGUGAUAUAAUUGUAGCCACUUAUUCUUUUCUCUUAAAUUAAUGCUUGCAAUGCAUAUCUCUCCAUUCUUUUACUUUCACUUAGCUAUAUAAUUUUGUUUGAAGUGAGUCUUUUGAUGACAGCCUAUAGUUGAAGCAUGUUUUAGUCACACUGCCAGUCUCUGCCUUUUAAUUGAUGUAUUUAGACCAUUUACAUUUAUAGCAAUUAUUGACAUGUUAGGGCUUAAGUCUGUCACUUUAUUAUUAUUUUCUAUUUGUUACUUUUGGCUUUUUAUUCCUCUAUUUUUUUUUUUUUUUUUUUGCCUUUCUGUGUGUUAUGUGAACAUUUUUGAGAGUUCCAUUCUGAUUUAUUUUUAAUGAUUUUUAAUAAUAUAGCUCUGUAUAGUAUACUUAGUGAUUGUUCUAGAUAUUACCAUGUACAUACAUUAUUUAUUUGCAAUCUAGUGGUGCAGAUGUUUUACCAAUCUGAGUAAUUUCUAGAAAUCUUACUUCCACUUAGGCUUCAUUUAUAGUCUCAACUUUCAAAAUAUAAUGUUCCUAAUUAUUUCCUCUACAUAUAUUGAACACCAUAUCUGAGGAUACUAUUACCUUUUUUCAACCACAAAAUAUGAUUAAAGAAACUCUUUUGAAGAAUUUACUUCUAUUUUUAACUAUUUCAUUUACUUCUAUUUUUGUCUUUUUAAUUUUUAUCUAUUUUGUUGUUGUUCUUUCCUUUCUAAAGGUCCCAGUAUUCUUGUUAUUAUUUUCUUCUUUGCUAUUUUUUUAAGAGUGGAUGUAUUAGCAAAAAGUUAUCUUAGUGUUUGAUCAUCUGAGAGUGUCUUUAUUUCCUCUUCAUUCAUGAAAGAUAGUUUCACUAAGUACAGGAUUUGGGGUUGACAGCUCUUUUCUUUCACUUGAAAACUGUUGCACCACUUCCUUCUGAACUCCAUGGUUUCAGAUGAAGAAUCUGCUGUUAUUUGAAUUGGUGCUCCUUUGUAGGUGAUGUGCCAUUUCUCAGACUUUUUUCAAAAAGACAUUGUCUUUGUAACUUUCAUAAGUUUAAAUGUAAUGUGUCUUGGUUGGUGUGGAUUUCUUUAGGUUUAUCCUAUUUGAAAUUCAUUUAGCUUCUUCUAUCUGUAGGUUUAUAGCUUUCCCAUGGCUUACCUUUUAAUUUUUUUAUUAGAAACUUACAAAAAAAUGUAUUUUGAAGUCCAGCUUGUCAAUUUUUUUAUUUUACGUUUUGUUCUUUUUGUGUUCAGUCUAAGAAGCCUUUGCCUAUACAAGUUUAUUAAGAUUUCUCCUAUGUUUUCUUCUAGAAAAUGUAUUGCUUUAACAUUUAAGU